UGGGGAAUUUUGGACAAUGGGCGAAAGCCUGAUCCAGCAAUGCCGCGUGUGUGAUGAAGGCCUUCGGGUUGUAAAGCACUUUUAGUGGGAACGAAACGGUCCGGGCUAAUACCCUGGACUAAUGACGGUACCCGCAGAAUAAGCACCGGCUAACUACGUGACAGCAGCCGCGGUAAUACGUAGGGUGCAAGCGUUAAUCGGAAUUACUGGGCGUAAAGCGUGCGCAGGCGGUUUUGUAAGACCGAUGUGAAAUCCCCGGGCUCAACCUGGGAACUGCAUUGGUGACUGCAAGGCUUGAGUGUGUCAGAGGGAGGCGGAAUUCCGCGUGUAGCAGUGAAAUGCGUAGAUAUGCGGAGGAACACCGAUGGCGAAGGCAGCCUCCUGGGAUAACACUGACGCUCAUGCACGAAAGCGUGGGGAGCAAAC
rnacentral:rRNA from 1 species